CUUUAGGUACUCCACAGUUCCCAUCUCCCCUAUAACCUGAUUUUUGAUUCUUAAAGAUUCCAUCAAUAACGAUGAAUCUCAUCUUCUCCCUAACCUGUUUUUUCGAUUCUUACCUCAAUCGACCAUAUCUCAUGACAUGGGAACUGCUGAGUUCAAAAAAUCUAUGGUUCGUUGUCAGAACUACAAGGUGAAAACGAAGAUUCAAGUUUAUUUGAGAUCCACCUAUGAAGAUUCAGAAACAGUUGAAGGCGACCAACGGUAUGGUUCGUUCAUAAUUAAUCGCUCGGAUCCGGCCAUGGGGAAGAUCGAACAACAUAUGUGUUAUAGGAUACAAUGGGAAUCGACUCAUAGGUGUGAAGGGUGGAAAUCACGGUCUGAUGAAGAGACUGGAAAGGUUCACGGAUCAUUGGAUCAUGCUGGAAAAGUGUGAGGCCAAACACUUAAGGUGGCCAAGCAGGACAAGAAGAAGCAGUGCGCCUUAGGGAUGCGCUCACAAGCGUAUUCAGUACAACCGUUUGAAUGAUAUAUAGGAUAUUUCGCGUCACUUUCGACCCGUUUGACCUGUUUCAAAAGUUUCAAUAAUAAUCAAGUUUUUCAAGUUACGCAUUUGAGCCGUUAAAGAGGUCGAAUAUGCACUUCUAUAAUGCUAAAGGUUCUAUUUAUAAUCUUGUAAUUUAAACUUGCAGAGAGCAUCAUGGAGCCAUACCAUAGGUACCUGCAUACAUACGUUUCUGUAUCGGGCCCACAUUUAGGUUAUCUCUACAGUUCCAAUUCUCUUUUCAAUUCUGGAUUAUGGCUGUUGAAGAAGCUUAAAAACACCUGUUGCAUUCAUCAGCCGACUUUCACUGAUGACAUAGAUCUCGAGAAUACCUUCUUCUACAAUCUAUCCAAGCAAAAGACUUUGGAAAGUUUCAAAAACAUAAUCCUGCUAUCAUCUCCUAAGGUCAUUUCAUCUUUGAAUACAUCCCUGCAUUUUAAUGGAGCCAUUAACGAUGAUAUUACAGAGUUCCAGACUAUUUUGUGCCAUACCAUUGUACCCAUUUCAUGCUUUCUUCAUAUGCACCUGUGAUCUCAGUUGAGAAAGCUUGCCAUCAGCAGCUUUCCGUUCUUAAAAUCACAAGUUCAGUUUUAGAGCCUGCAAGCAUGAUGGCUAAAUGUGAUCCUAGGCAUGGAAAUCUUAUGGCUUGUUGUUUGAUGUUCUGUGGAAACGUCGUUCCCAAAGAUGUCAAUGCUGGUGUUGCUACAAUCUAAACCCAAUGCACCGUGCAGUUUGCUGAUUGUUGACUAUCCGGUUGACAAGGUUUCAUGCUAUGUUUCUGAUGACGGAGCUGCUAUGUUGACUUUCGAAGCUCUGACCGAGUCUGAGUUUGCAAAAAAAUGGGUUUACUUUUGCAAGAAAUAUAACAUAGAGCCCCGAGCUCCUGAAUGGUAUUUUUGCCAAAAAAUUGACUACCUCAAACACAAACUUCAGCCAACUUUUGUCAAAGACCGUCGAGCUAUGAAGGUAGAAACCAUUUGACGCAAAUAAUCUUCAAUUCUUUACUAUUUCUCGAGUAAAAAUUGUUACUUUGUUCCUUUUUGGGCAGAGAGAAUAUGAAGAAUUCAAAAUUUAUGUAUCAUGUUUUUAUGGUAUUUUUAUUGCUAAUUGUGCAUUUUGCUUGAA